UGCGUUUCAGACGAACGCCACAUGUUCGAUAAUUUGUCUCAGAGAACAGCACCGCCGCCCUUCGCCUAGCCAGAGUUGGCGCCAACGCCACAAAGAAUAUAGUGUAUAGCUAGGUCAAGCAGCUGCAGCAGCUCUUGCACAAUUGUAUGCCCGGUUUUCAUUCAAUUGUGCCUUCUAUGAACUUCCUCAACUUGUCCCUUGCAGAAUCUCAGUCUCGGUCUUUGACAAGAAACUGGAGAAACAAUGGUUUGCUUGUUUUGCU
rnacentral:lncRNA from 1 species